UACGUAGGGGGCAAGCGUUGUCCGGAUUUAUUGGGCGUAAAGAGCGUGUAGGCUGCUUCACAGGUCCGCUGUGAAAACUCGAGGCUCAACCUCGAGCUGUCGGUGGAAACCGUGUGGCUAGAGUCCGGAAGAGGAGAGUGGAAUUCCCGGUGUAGCGGUGAAAUGCGCAGAUAUCGGGAAGAACACCCGUGGCGAAGGCGGCUCUCUGGGACGGUACUGACGCUGAGACGCGAAAGCGUGGGGAGCGAACAGG
rnacentral:rRNA from 1 species